rnacentral:rRNA from 1 species
AACGAACGCUGGCGGCAUGCCUAACACAUGCAAGUCGAACGAGACCUUCGGGUCUAGUGGCGCACGGGUGCGUAACGCGUGGGAACCUGCCCUUAGGUUCGGAAUAACUCCCCGAAAGGGGUGCUAAUACCGGAUAAUGUCUUCGGACCAAAGAUUUAUCGCCUUUGGAUGGGCCCGCGUUGGAUUAGCUAGUUGGUAGGGUAAAAGCCUACCAAGGCGACGAUCCAUAGCUGGUCUGAGAGGAUGAUCAGCCACACUGGGACUGAGAUACGGCCCAGACUCCUACGGGAGGCAGCAGUGGGGAAUAUUGGACAAUGGGCGAAAGCCUGAUCCAGCAACGCCGCGUGAGUGAUGAAGGCCUUAGGGUUGUAAAGCUCUUUUACCCGGGAUGAUAAUGACAGUACCGGGAGAAUAAGCUCCGGCUAACUCCGUG